rnacentral:lncRNA from 1 species
CAAACAAACAAAACUACCAUGAAAAAAGCUUUCCAUGCCAUUCAGUGUUUAUGAUUAUUAUUUGGUGCUGGGGUUAAACCUGCGGCCUCACACAUGCAGAGCAUAAGUUCUACCGUGGAGCCACACCCUAGCCAUCACAUUUAUCAUUAACAAACCAGCUAACAUUCUCUCCACACCAGACUGAAGCUGUAGGCUCAGCACACAAAAACACAGGACACCUAGUCAAAUUUGAAUUUCAGAUAAGUAAUGAAUAAUUUUCGGCCAAGUGUGCCCAUGCAUAAGUAGGUCCUUGUGUGAGUCCCAUGUCAGAGCGGGUCACAUGAUCUGACCCACAUGGCACUCAGGAGCAUUGUGAUGCUCACUGUGGCACUUUGCAGAUGCCAGAAGGGGCAGCGUUGCCCAUGGGUCACAGCUGAGAAGUUACCAGACCAAGGCCAACUUCGCCAGCAAACCUGUGGCCACCCCCAGGCCCACAGGGGCCACCAGGUCAGGCUCUGGGAGCCGAGGCCAGCAGCUCCAACUGAGUGGUUCAGAAACAUAAAGUGGACAGAAGGAAGGACCAGGUGCAUGCCACAAACACCACCUCCUCUCGUGCAGAAUGAAUGCUAAGUGCCAGGCCUUCUCUCUCCUACCAAACUGCGGGCAACUGUACAAGACCUGGGAACAGAGGUACCUGCCUGAGCCCCUGUCUGCAUGAGCAGCCGGUGCCGUGGUGCCUUGCUCUGGAUGGUCCCCCAAGUCGGAAAUGGGGACAGGUCCCCCAAGAGUCUGUCCUUUCCCGAAUUCCUUUCCUCUGUAUCCAACUGAGCUUGACUUCGGCUGUGCAACGGUGCAAAGGAGCUGGUUCAGGGCCUGGAUGGACUGGUCCUGGGUACCUGGCAUUUGUGCAGCCAUUGCGGCCUGACGGGGCUCUGAAGCUGGGAGGCACUCAGCCAUGACUCUGGAAAAUUCUGAAAGCCAAGAGUCAUCACCAGGGACAGCUUCCUGGACGCGCCCUUCAGGCUGGUUCCAGGACAGCACUGCCGCCAUGCCCCUCACCCCUGGGCUUCAUUAAAAG